GCUGAUGUAGCUCAAUUGGCAGAGCUCUUGAUUUGUAAUCAAGAGGUUAUGGGUUCGAGUCCCAUCAUCAGCU
rnacentral:tRNA from 1 species